CUGCCGUAUCCUUAUAGUAACCAUGGUUUUAAUAAAAUGAUAUUGUAGUAACUAUGACUGUAGUAAUCAUGGUUAAUUUUGUGGUUCUGGUUUUACCUCAAAUACCAUGGCUUACAAAUAUAUGAUAGUGUUUGUCUUUUUAUCUUUCUUUACUUAGACUUCUAAGUUUUGAAUCCUGACUCCACUUCAAAGCUCGAAGAGAACUGAGUGCCUGUGUUUAAGGACUAGAUCCUGCACUUUGCCAACAGAAAGAAGUGGCUCUUCAUCUGCUUUCCAAUGCGGAAACUAUGACUGCAGACAAACAAGUUGAAAUUGCCUUUCUAGUCCCUAUUGUGCUCUCAACAUUGAUACACGAUUGGAAGGAAAAUGUUCGGACCAAGCUUCACAGGAACCAGGAAAGCUUUCAUUGACAUACAUCCUAGGUUGGUACCAGUGGCUGAUUUCCUGCACCGUGCAAAAGAUGCCAUUUUUCCAUACACACCGAUGCUUGGAGAAAAUAAUCAGUGCUUUCAGGCAUUUGUUGUCAUUCACUGAGAAGCGCUUCAACAAAAUACAUUGUGGUGCACAGUGGACAUUUGCUUCAAAGCGCUCUACGUCUUAAAUAUUAAUUACCCCACAAAGCAAAUUUGAGUGAAUUUCUACAGUCUGGAAUCUUGUUUACCCAAACAGACAAUACAUUUCUACCUUUUAAAUUGUUAUUGUUGUCUGCCAGCCUAUCUCUCACUGUGUGGGUGUUGUAAAGUGAUUUUGAUUACAAAGAAUUCUGUUUUAAAACUUUGUUUUAACUUUGCUGGGUAUAUUUUUACCCAGCAAAGUUACUGAUGACAACAGUCCAAAAGUUGGGAUAAUCAUUAAGAGAGAGCAGAGGUUUAUGAUGUUUCAGAUGAAAAAAACAAAUGUACCUUUUAGGUUUUCUUGCAUAUAUAUAUAUAUAUAUAUAUAUAUAUAUGACAGUCUGUGCUACUGUCAUUUUUUUUUUUUUUUUGUAUGUGAUGUUGCUGCAACAUUGUAAAUUUCACAGGAAGUUAGGUUCUAAACUUUAUUUAGUGUAUAACAUUAAGAACAAAUUUAACUAGUUCAUGGUGAAAUAAUAGGUACUGUUUCUGUCUUGUACAUAUUUUGAUACCAAACCUGUUUCUAUGGACCUACAUAAUAUUAGGCAGGUGGUAUUAAUGUUGUGGCUGACUGGUGUAAAUUGGUGUGUUUUUGUAUUUUUCUUGGAUACAUUUACAGAUGUAUUGCUGUUGAAAUGU